rnacentral:rRNA from 1 species
CCUACGGGUGGCAGCAGUGGGGAAUAUUGCACAAUGGGGGAAACCCUGAUGCAGCGACGCCGCGUGAGUGAAGAAGUAAUUCGUUAUGUAAAGCUCUAUCAGCAGGGACGAAAAUGACGGUACUUGAGUAAGAAGACCCGGCUAACUACGUGCCAGCAGCCGCGGUAAUACGUAGGGGGCAAGCGUUAUCCGGAUUUUCUGGGGGUAAAGGGAGCGUAGGCGGCAGAGCAAGUCUGGAGUGAAAGGCGGGGGCUCAACGCCGGGACUGCUCUGGAAACUGUACGGCUGGAGUGCAGGAGAGGUAAGUGGAAUUCCUGGUGUAGCAGUGAAAUGCGUAGAUAUUAGGAGGAACACCAGUGGCGAAGGCGACUUACUGGACUGUAACUGACGUUGAGGCUCGAAAGCGUGGGGAGCAAACAGGAUUAGAUACCCUGGUAGUC